rnacentral:tmRNA from 1 species
GGGGCUGAUUCUGGAUUCGACGGGAUUUGCGAAACCCAAGGUGCAUGCCGAGGGGCGGUUGGCCUCGUAAAAAGCCGCAAAAAAAUAGUCGCAAACGACGAAACCUACGCUUUAGCAGCUUAAUAACCUGCUUAGAGCCCUCUCUCCCUAGCCUCCGCUCUUAGGACGGGGAUCAAGAGAGGUCAAACCCAAAAGAGAUCGCGUGGAUGCCCUGCCUGGGGUUGAAGCGUUAAAACGAAUCAGGCUAGUCUGGUAGUGGCGUGUCCGUCCGCAGGUGCCAGGCGAAUGUAAAGACUGACUAAGCAUGUAGUACCGAGGAUGUAGGAAUUUCGGACGCGGGUUCAACUCCCGCCAGCUCC